UGGGUAACCUGCCUCAAAGAGGGGAAUAGCCUCCCGAAAAGGGGAGAUUAAUACCGCAUAAUAUGUUUAGGUCGCAUGACUUUAACAUCAAAGGAUUUUCUUUUAGAAAUUCCACUUUGAGAUGGACCCGCGGUGCAUUAGCUAGUUGGUGAGGUAACGGCUCACCAAGGCAACGAUGCGUAGCCGACCUGAGAGGGUGAUCGGCCACAUUGGAACUGAGACACGGUCCAGACUCCGUAGGAGG
rnacentral:rRNA from 1 species